UAUGUGUGUGUGUGUAGCAAGCGCUCCAGCCUCUCCAAGAGAGAUGAUGAGUCUGAAGGAACGCAAGAUGGACUACGAUUCCACAGCAACCAAUGCUGGUUUCCAUAGCAACAAAGGCGAGCACACAUCCCGGAAAGAUGGCAUGGCAGUGUCCUGUGGAACGUCUACAUUGUUCCGAAAUUCAUACCUGACUGCCAGCGAUGAUAUCAAGCCAAACCAGCCUUCUCUCCCAUCACCUCACCUUCCACCUCCCUCCAUGCCUCCCUUCACUGCACUUCCACCACCAUCCGUCUGCCGGACACCGCAUCCU